UGGGGAAUCUUCCGCAAUGGGCGAAAGCCUGACGGAGCGACGCCGCGUGGGGGACGAAGGCCUUCGGGUCGUAAACCCCUGUCAGAGGGAAAGAAGGGUGCCGGCGUGAAUAGCGCCGGUAUUUGACGGUACCCUCAGAGGAAGCCACGGCCAACUCCGUGCCAGCAGCCGCGGUAAUACGGAGGUGGCAAGCGUUGCUCGGAAUCACUGGGCGUAAAGGGCGCGUAGGCGGGGAGGUAAGUCGGGUGUGAAAUCCCUCGGCCCAACCGAGGAACUGCGCCCGAGACUGCUUCUCUUGAGUCCCGGAGAGGAAGAUGGAAUUCCCGGUGUAGCGGUGAAAUGUGUAGAGAUCGGGAGGAACACCGGUGGCGAAGGCGGUCUUCUGGACGGUGACUGACGCUGAGGCGCGAAAGCGUGGGGAGCAAACGGG
rnacentral:rRNA from 1 species